rnacentral:rRNA from 1 species
UACGAAGGGGGCUAGCGUUGCUCGGAAUCACUGGGCGUAAAGCGCACGUAGGCGGACUCUUAAGUCAGGGGUGAAAUCCUGGAGCUCAACUCCAGAACUGCCUUCGAAACUGACGAUCUUGAGUUCGGGAGAGGUGAGUGGAACUGCGAGUGUAGAGGUGAAAUUCGUAGAUAUUCGCAAGAACACCAGUGGCGAAGGCGGCUCACUGGCCCGAUACUGACGCUGAGGUGCGAAAGCGUGGGGAGCAAACAGGG